GGCGAGUUACGAUUUGAUGCAAGGUUAAGCAGUAAAUGUGGAGCCGUAGCGAAAGCGAGUCUGAAUAGGGCGUUUAGUAUUUGGUCGUAGACCCGAAACCAGGUGAUCUACCCUUGGUCAGGUUGAAGUUCAGGUAACACUGAAUGGAGGACCGAACCGACUUACGUUGAAAAGUGAGCGGAUGAACUGAGGGUAGCGGAGAAAUUCCAAUCGAACCUGGAGAUAGCUGGUUCUCUCCGAAAUAGCUUUAGGGCUAGCCUCAAGUGAUGAUUAUUGGAGGUAGAGCACUGUUUGGACGAGGGGCCCCUCUCGGGUUACCGAAUUCAGACAAACUCCGAAUGCCAAUUAAUUUAACUUGGGAGUCAGAACAUGGGUGAUAAGGU
rnacentral:rRNA from 1 species